GCCUAUAAAUGGGAAGUCUGGUGGCAUUUUGGACCGUUGGUCAUAACCAGUCACACUUAAAAAAGCAAAACGAAGAGGGGGAUGGGUUCACUGGGUUGGAGUGGAAGAUGCUUAUAAAAAGCGACCUUGAGAAUGAUAAAAUGUCUAUGAAAUGGAAAAAGGUUUUGGCGGAUGGUUUAGGAGAUGGUGAGGUGGCUAGACUACACCAUGUCCCCUCUUUUCCUCCAAACACUUCCUGGACCUGAGCCCUAGAACCAUGCCUGGCCUGGCCUAGCCAGUCUCCAGAUCUCAACCCCAUAGAAAAUCUUUGGAGGGAGUUGAAAGUCCGUGUUGCCCAGCAACAGCCCCAAAACAUCACUGCUCUAGAGGAGAUCUGCAUGGAGGAAUGGGCCAAAAUACCAGCAACAGUGUGUGGAAACCUUGUGAAGACAUACAGAAAACGUUUGACCUCUGUCAUUGCCAACAAAGGGUAUAUAACAAAGUAUUGAGAUAAACUUUUGUUAUUGACCAAAUACUUAUUUUCCACCAUAAUUUGCAAAUAAAUGCAUUAAAAAUCCUACAA